rnacentral:rRNA from 1 species
UACGUAGGGUGCAGGCGUUAAUCGGAAUUACUGGGCGUAAAGCGUGCGCAGGCGGUUUGCUAAGACAGGUGUGAAAUCCCCGGGCUUAACCUGGGAACUGCGCUUGUAACUGGCAAGCUGGAGUGUGGCAGAGGGGGGUGGAAUUCCACGUGUAGCAGUGAAAUGCGUAGAGAUGCGGAGGAACACCGAUGGCGAAGGCAGCCCCCUGGGCUAACACUGACGCUCAGGCACGAAGCGUGGGGAGCAAACAGG